rnacentral:rRNA from 1 species
UACGUAGGGGGCAAGCGUUGUCCGGAUUUAUUGGGCGUAAAGAGCGUGUAGGCGGCUGGGUAGGUCCGCUGUGAAAACUCGAGGCUUAACCUCGAGACGUCGGUGGAAACCAUCCAGCUAGAGUCCGGAAGAGGAGAGUGGAAUUCCUGGUGUAGCGGUGAAAUGCGCAGAUAUCAGGAAGAACACCCGUGGCGAACGCGGCUCUCUGGGACGGUACUGACGCUGAGACGCGAAAGCGUGGGGAGCGAACAGG